UCAGAGUUUUCAUGGCUCAGGAUGAACGCUAGCUACAGGCUUAACACAUGCAAGUCGAGGGGAAACGACAUCGAAAGCUUGCUUUUGAUGGGCGUCGACCGGCGCACGGGUGAGUAACGCGUAUCCAACCUGCCCACCACUUGGGGAUAACCUUGCGAAAGUAAGACUAAUACCCAAUGACGUCUCUAGAAGACAUCUGAAGGAGAUUAAAGAUUUAUCGGUGAUGGAUGGGGAUGCGUCUGAUUAGCUUGUUGGCGGGGUAACGGCCACCAAGGCGACGAUCAGUAGGGGUUCUGAGAGGAAGGUCCCCCACGAUUGGAACUGAGACACGGUCCAAACUCCUACGGGAGGCA
rnacentral:rRNA from 1 species